CACUCCUGCGGGAGGCAGCAGUGGGGAAUAUUGGACAAUGGGCGCAAGCCUGAUCCAGCCAUGCCGCGUGAGUGAUGAAGGCCCUAGGGUUGUAAAGCUCUUUCACCGGUGAAGAUAAUGACGGUAACCGGAGAAGAAGCCCCGGCUAACUUCGUGCCAGCAGCCGCGGUAAUACGAAGGGGGCUAGCGUUGUUCGGAUUUACUGGGCGUAAAGCGCACGUAGGCGGACUAUUAAGUCAGGGGUGAAAUCCCGGGGCUCAACCCCGGAACUGCCUUUGAUACUGGUAGUCUUGAGUUCGAGAGAGGUGAGUGGAAUUCCGAGUGUAGAGGUGAAAUUCGUAGAUAUUCGGAGGAACACCAGUGGCGAAGGCGGCUCACUGGCUCGAUACUGACGCUGAGGUGCGAAAGCGUGGGGAGCAAACAGGAUUAGAAACCCUAGUAGUCCCA
rnacentral:rRNA from 1 species